ACAUACGACCACAGGGUGUGGAAAAUAGGGCUUCCCGUCCGCUCAGCCGUACUCAAGCCACACGCCGGGAGGUUAGUAGUUGGGUGGGUGACC
rnacentral:rRNA from 1 species